GUAGGUGGCAAGCGUUGUCCGGAAUUAUUGGGGCGUAAAGCGCGCGCAGGUGGUUCUUUAAGUCUGAUGUGAAAGCCCCCGGGCUCAACCGGGGGAGGGUCAUUGGAAACUGGGGAACUUGAGUGCAGGAGAGGAAAGUGGAAUUCCACGUGUAGCGGUGAAAUGCGUAGAUAUGUGGAGGAACACCAGUGGCGAAGGCGACUUUCUGGCCUGUAACUGACACUGAGGCGCGAAAGCGUGGGGAGCAAACAGGAUUAGAUACCCUGGUAGUCCACGCCGUAAACGAUGAGUGCUAAGUGUUGGGGGGUUUCCGCCCCUCAGUGCUGCAGCUAACGCAUUAAGCACUCCGCCUGGGGAGUACGGUCGCAAAGACUGA
rnacentral:rRNA from 1 species